rnacentral:rRNA from 1 species
GAUGAACGCUAGCGGCAGGCCUAAUACAUGCAAGACGAACGGUAAGUUGAGUAGCAAUACUUAGCCAAGAGUGUCGUACGGGUGCGUAACACGUAUGCAACCUACCCUAUACAGGAGGAUAGCCUAGGGAAACCUGGAUUAACCCUUCAUAGUAUUAUUGGAUGGCAUCAUUUGAUAAUUAAAACUGAGGUGGUAUAGGAUGGGCAUGCGUCUGAUUAGUUAGUUGGCGGGGUAAUGGCCCACCAAGACGAUGAUCAGUAGGGGUUCUGAGAGGAAGAUCCCCCACACUGGCACUGAGAUACGGGCCAGACUCCUACGGGAGCAGCAGUAGGGAAUAUUGGUCAAUGGAUGCAAGUCUGAACCAGCCAUGCCGCGUGCAGGAAGAAGGCCUUUCUGGGGUUGUAAACUGCUUUUGCCAGGGGAUAAAAUUUCCAUGCGUGGAAAACUGAAGGUACCUGGUGAAUAAGCCACGGCUAACUACGUGCCAGCAGCCGCGGU